rnacentral:rRNA from 1 species
UCCUUAGGGUGAGAGGGGCACCCGGGGCCACAAGUGCAUUUAUUAAGACGAGGAGGGGUUUAGCUACCCGGGACCUCGCGCCCCGGGCGGCCCGCCGGCGGACAAACCAAAACUCUUGUUAUCUUAGUUGAUUAUCUGAGUGUCUUAUUUAAUAAGUCAAAACUUUCAACAACGGAUCUCUUGGUUCUGGCAUCGAUGAAGAACGCAGCGAAAUGCGAUAAGUAAUGUGAAUUGCAGAAUUCAGUGAAUCAUCGAAUCUUUGAACGCACAUUGCGCCCAUUAGUAUUCUAGUGGGCAUGCCUGUUCGAGCGUCAUUUCAACCCCUAAGCACAGCUUAUUGUUGGGAACCUACGGCUUCGUAGUUCCUCAAAGACAUUGGCGGAGUGGCAGUGGUCCUCUGAGCGUAGUAAUCUUUUAUCUCGCUUCUGUUAGGUGCUGCCCCCCCGGCCGUAAAACCCCCAAUUUUUUCUGGUUGACCUCGGAUCAGGUAGGAAUACCCGCUGAACUUAAGCAUAUCAAUAAGCGGAGGA